rfam:Myotis lucifugus cont2.14912, whole genome shotgun sequence.
GACGGUUCUCAGGUGACCCAUCCUAGCAUUGGGCUCCCUCCUUUCUGGUUCCGGGGUGCGUCACCCGAGAACCUCA